rnacentral:ncRNA from 1 species
GAAAGCCGUAUGCUUGGAAACUUGCUCGUACGGUUUGGAGGGGGGGGUUGUUUGUAAUAGAAAGUAGAAAGACAAAUCCUACAAUCGAAACGCAAAUAAUCUAUCCCUAU